AUGUGUCCGUACUUCGUGCUGGUCGCCGGCGUCGCCGCGCUCCUCGCCGUCACCUGCGUUGUCAUCAGGAAGGCUCGACGCAGCAGCAGCAGCAGCAGCAAGCUCCCGCCCUCGCCACCGUCGCGUCCGCUGGUCGGCCACUUGCACCUCAUGGGCAGCCUCCCACACCGCUCCUUGCGCGAGCUGCACGCUCGGUACGGCACCGACGGUGGGCUCCUGUUCCUGCGGCUCGGGCGCAGGCCGACGCUGGUGGUGUCCACGGCGGCGGCGGCGGCGGACCUGUACAAGAACCACGACCUCGCCUUCGCCUCCCGCGUGCCCAGCGUGCCGGUGGACAAGCUCACGUACGGCUGCAUGAACGUAUCGUUCGCGCCCUACGGCGACGCCUGGCGCCGCAGCAAGAAGAUGGCCGUCAUCCACCUCCUCUCCCCGCGCCGCGCCGACUCGUUCGGCCCUGUGCGCGCCGCCGAGGCGACCGCCCUUGUCGCGGGAGCCCGCCGCGCCGCGGAGGCCGGUGAGGCCGUGGAGCUGAGGGAGCUCCUGUACGCCUAUAGCAACUCCGUGGUCACCCGCGCGGCCGCCGGCGCCGCGGGGGCCACGGCGGAGAAGAUGAAAGAGCUUAUGGGGAACUCUGCGGCGUUCAUGUCGGGGCUCCAGGCGGAGGACGUGCUUCCUGGAGCGGCGGCCAAGAUGGUUAGGUGGGCGACGGGGCUGGAGAAGAGGAUCGACGUCCAGGUCGAAGCGUGGGACAAGUUCCUAUCCGAGAUAAUGGCCGAGCACCUUGAGAAGAAGCGUGACGACGGCGCACUGGGCGCAGAAGAGGACUUCUUGGACGUCUUGCUCCGGCUGAGGAAAGAAGGCACCGCCGGGCUCGAGCUCACCGACAAUCGCAUCAAAAGCAUCAUCAAGGACAUGAUCUUGGCCGGAACUGAGACGUCAUCUAUCACGCUGGAAUGGGUCAUGGCGGAGCUCAUCGGAAACCCGCGGGUAAUGGCCAAGCUGCAGGACGAGGUAACACGAAUCGCCAACGGCAAGCCGGCCAUCGAGGAAGACGAUUUGAGGAGGAUGGAGUACCUUAAGGCGGUGCUGAAGGAGGUCCUCCGGCUCCACCCGCCGGCGCCGCUCCUCGUCCCGCACGAGUCGACGACGGCGGCGGUCGUCCAGGGCUACGAGAUCCCCGCCAAGACGGCGCUAUUCAUCAACGCUUGGGCAAUCGCGAGGGAUCCCGCGGCGUGGGGCGACGCGGCGGAGGAGUUCCGGCCAGAGCGAUUCUUGGACGGCGCCAGCGCGACGGACGUGGACGUGCGGGGGAAUGACUACCAGCUCCUCCCGUUCGGCGCCGGCCGGCGAAUCUGCCCCGCCAUAAACUUCGCACUGCCGGUGCUGGAGAUCGCGGUCGCCAGCCUUGUGCGCCACUUCGACUGGGAGCUCCCCGCCGGGACGCGUCUGGACAUGGCCGAGACGCCGGGGCUGGUCACGCCGCCGCUGGUUCCACUGCGCCUCGUCCCCAAGUCAAGUGCAGGACGCAUGCUUAAUUAG
rnacentral:rRNA from 1 species